AUGGGUGCCUCCCCCUGCCCCACAGCCCCACUGGGUGCCUGUCCCUGCCCCACAGGUGCCUGUCCCUGCCCCACAGGUGCUUCUCCCUGCCCCACAGGUGCCUCCCCCUGCCCCACAGCCCCCACGGGUGUCUGUCCUCACCCCACAAGUGCCCCCCCCUCCCCUGCCCCACAGCACCCCAUUGGGGGGUGGGGGUGCCGCCCUUCCCCCCCCCUUUCCCCUUUUUUUGGUGACGUUUCAAUAAAAACGGUGACUGAGCGCUGGGUCCCGCCUGCUCUCGGGGUGGGAGGGGCUAGCGGGAUGGCGUCAUUCUCGAGGGGGGCAAAUAGGCGGCGCGGAGGAGGCACGGGGAGGGAGGGGCUGAUCUGCGCGCGGGGCGUGGUUAUGCAAAUCGACACCGCGGAGUAGGAAUGCUGAAGACGGGGUCCUCGAUCCAAUGGACGUGGCUGUGCAAAUAGUCAUCGCUUGAGGGGUAUGGGGGCUUUGCGCUGGGCGUGGCUAUGCAAAUAGGCAUCGCGGAGGAUGCACGGUGAGGGCGGGGCUGAUCUUCGCGCGGGCGUGGCUAUGCAAAUUGACACCGCGAGGUAGGAAUGCUGAAGGCAGGGGUGCUCUAUCCAAUGGGAGUAGCUAUGCAAAUAGGCAUAGCUUGAGGUGCAUGGGGCUUUUUUACCGGUGGGCGUGGCUAUGCAAAUAGGCAUCGCUUGAGAGGCAUGGGCCGGAUUUUGCGCUGGGCGUGGCUAUGCAAAUAGGCUUUGGUGAAAUGGAGGUGGGUGGCGGGUGGGUGUGGCUAUGCAAAUAUAUGCGGCUAUAUCUACUGAGAAGGUGGG
rnacentral:lncRNA from 1 species